ACCAGACUCCUACGGGAGGCAGCAGUGGGGGAUAUUGGACAAUGGGGGGAACCCUGAUCCAGCGACGCCGCGUGAGUGAAGAAGUAUCUCGGUAUGUAAAGCUCUAUCAGCAGGGAAGAAAGAAAUGACGGUACCUGAGUAAGAAGCCCCGGCUAACUACGUGCCAGCAGCCGCGGUAAUACGUAGGGGGCAAGCGUUAUCCGGAAUUACUGGGUGUAAAGGGAGCGUAGACGGUGAAGUAAGUCUGGAGUGAACGGCGGGGGCCCACCCCCCGGACUGCUCUGGAAACUAUUUGACUGGAGUGCAGGAGAGGUAAGCGGAAUUCCUAGUGUAGCGGUGAAAUGCGUAGAUAUUAGGAGGAACACCAGUGGCGAAGGCGGCUUACUGGACUGUAACUGACGUUGAGGCUCGAAAGCGUGGGGAGCAAGCAGGAUUAGAUCCCCGUGUA
rnacentral:rRNA from 1 species